rnacentral:misc_RNA from 1 species
UUGAACUCAAAACUUUGUAGAGGAUUGAAGUUAAAGGCCUUCACUUCAGUAGAUUUGAUUGUGGCUGAAGAUAAGAAAAGAAAAAAAAGAGAGAGAGAAUGUUGAGUUUGAGAAUUGAGAGAAAUGGCUGAGACUUGUGAGAAAGUUGAGACUUUGGUUAUUUGAGUGAUAACAAAUGGCUAUUGAAUGGCUAGUGAAAACUGAAAAAAAAAAAGAGAGAAUAUAUGCCCUUUAACAUAAUAAUUGAAUAUGCCAAAGAAGAAAGAAUCCCUCCAACAACAAAUUAGUUUCACUUUCAUGUGAAUUGAGCUAGCCAUGGAGGUGAAGUAGAUGUGAAAUAAAGCUGGA